rnacentral:lncRNA from 1 species
AUUUUAAACCUAUCCAUAUACUAUACAUAUACAUAUAAAUGCUUAGCUAUACACUAAAACAGACUAUACAAGUACUUUUACCUUAUUGUGAAAUAUUCUGUGCAAGGGAUGCAUAUGAGGUUAAAAGCAAGUAGUGCAAUAUGAUUGUGUGAUGUAUUAUUAGAAGUAAACAUUGUUUUGCUGUCAUCAUCAUGACUGACUGAUGCUGACUUGCACUGAUGAUGAUUUGAUGGUCAGCACGAUUCUCUGUGAUUCAGUCUAAUAGUUUUGUGCAUCUUGCUAAUGUUUUCUGAUGUGUUUCUCAGCCUGCAGCGUCUGGAGGUGUGCUGAGGUGCUGCUUCUGUCCAAGAUGAUGAAGGUCUGCUCGGUUCCUUCCAACAACCCAAACCCACUCUGUCUGCAGGCGACAGGAGGAUCUCUGUGGACCACCGACAAGAGGAUUCAUCCCUCUCAAGUUACUCCGGUGCCAAAAAUGAUCAAUGCCAACUUGGUGUGUUUAUGGAGGCAUCCUCCUGGAGUCACUAUAAAUUUUUGGCAUCAUGUUAUCAUUGUUUUAAUGUCAAUAGCACAGUUGACUGGUCCCUGAAGAGCUGUCGG